rnacentral:rRNA from 1 species
AUACGGAGGGGGCUAGCGUUGUUCGGAAUUACUGGGCGUAAAGCGCGCGUAGGCGGAUCGUUAAGUCAGGGGUGAAAGCCCGGAGCUCAACUCCGGAACUGCCCUUGAUACGGGCGAUCUUGAGUCCGGGAGAGGUGAGCGGAAUUCCUAGUGUAGAGGUGAAAUUCGUAGAUAUUAGGAGGAACACCAGUGGCGAAGGCGGCUCACUGGCCCGGUACUGACGCUGAGGUGCGAAAGCGUGGGGAGCAAACAGGAUUAGAAACCCUAGUAGUCC